GCUAUGUCAGUACGUGCAGAUCUUCUUAUUGCUCUUUUCCCUUUCCUCAGAUCUGGGAACUAGAGCAUACUCUGUAGUCCUACAUCUUCAGGGAAGAAACUGUCUCACUCUCCGCACUAGUAUCAACUAGAACAAUCUCUUGAUGCUGACUGAAGUACUAGGCUAGCAUCAAAAACACAUGAUUGAAAGCCACCUAAAGAUUACUCAUCUAACAGGAGCAAGUUAGAGUUAUUUAGUGGUUAAUGAGAUUACCCAUCUGCAACUCUGGGGGUCCUUGUGUCCCCCUCAAGAAGAAUGCUAACUAUAUCCUGUAAAACUGAAGACUCUGUAGUACCUCCUUCUACUACUACUAUUGCAUUUAUAGGCCUUUAUGGGUAAACUGCUUUCUGACUGACUUCAUCGGUUAUUUAGACUUUUCACAAUUCAGAAUCUCAGAAAUUAUCUCUAGUCAUGAAUUAUUUUUCACCUAAUACAACAGAGUUCAAAAUCAAGAAUAAAUACUUUAUACAAGAAAGGGUUGAGGCUUAUUUGAAUAAUAAGCACAAUGCUCUAAUGUAUAUAAACACACGCACUUGGACAAUGCUGCAAAUUAUGGAGAUUAAACCAACAGGAUGAUAGUAAAAUCCUGCCAAUGCCAGCAAAAGUUCUCAGCACCUCAACAUUUAAGGACCUUAACUAACUGUCAAGAGAACUCAAGAACUCUCAUCCAACACAAUAAAUACCCAGGUAUAUGAUUCCGUCGAACAAGUGGCACUAACUCUUCUGAACCUGCUGUUGCAGAGUUGAGAAAUGUUCCAUGUCCAAUUCUGUCAGGAGGCAGGCCCAGGAGAAUUUUGGUCUCCUCUUCUUGAUUUGGAAUCUAGAGAGGAUAUAUUUUACAUUCUGUCAAGGCAGCACAAACCAGCACAUUAAAUAACUACAACGGACUAUUUCACUGUGUAUCUUAUCUAAAAGAAAGUGUUAGUGAGACUAAAUAUCUGCUUUACUACCCUGUAAAGAAAGAAGUAGUGCAUGAAAGUGAC